UUUUUUUUCUGCACAUAGCAGGAGAGAUGAAGCUCAGACCCCCCCCUAAAAUCUGUGGCAGAAGCUCCCAUAUAUGUGCCCUUAUGGUCCACAUAUUUUAUAUACUGCCCUGUACCUAUUUGCAGACAGACCCUUAAUAGCAUUUUGAGGAGAGAAGGUUUCGGUGGCACGUUAAAUGUGUUGAUGCUUCUGACUCAUCACGAUUGUAAAACAUGAUAGGAGUGGGAGGGGUGGUCCUAGGUGUCACAGGAAUGGCUCCACCAAUAUCAGAAUCUACCCCACGAUUCCACCAUCCCUGAAUGUCCUACAGUUAGAUCAGUGGCUGUAUCACAUUAGGGACUCUUCAGACAUUUCAGCGUCUCACCGCAUACCCAGAUGAUAUUGCACAGACGCCUUGCAUUACAGGACCCAUUUCCUAGGCUUGGCUGCGCAGCUUUUCCUCUGAGUGAGGCAAAAAUCACUUAGCAAGAUGAAGGAAGAUUGUUCAGUUUGAGCAUGUCCUUAUCAAAAUGGCUCUUUUCCGUCCUUGUAGUUUCAAAGCAGGAUUUGUAGGCAUGUCACUGCAGUUUAAUGAUCUGCUCCUUUCUGCUGAGUGCUCCUAGCAUUACAGAAGCUAAACCAUUAAAAUAUGUGUUUCUCUCACAGCGUGGACACUUGGCUCUAAGUAUUACUUAAAAGACAUGGGUAAACACAGGAAAAGAUGUCUCAGCAGGAGGGAAGUGAUUGUGGGGACAGUAUGUUCUGACAGCAAUUCAAAAUUACCAGUAGGCUACAGAGUAGGAAGUCAUAGAUAACAAGUUGUUUUAUUUAAAUAGCCAGCGGGUCUCAGCCCAGAGAACAAUAGAGUCUGCUCCUACAGAUGGUGCCAUACGCGUGGUGGGAACUUCAUUUGGUCAGGCUGAUAAAAGCAAGAAAAAGGCAGAUAACAUCACUGAGGAAUGGACCAGGCUGAAAGGUUGGCUCUGUUUCUCCUUUUGCCCACAGCAGAGAAAGUCACAUAAGGCAUUUGAGAUUUGAGAUGAAGUAUGCUUCAACCUGCAGGAGGUCUGCGUGGGCAGAGUGCGCUUGGUGUGAUGCACAUCCCACAGCACACACUUCACAGCCUGGAGAAGUGAGCUAGGAGCUCACAUUCACAGCUGGAAAUCAUCAGCCUUCCUUAGCAAGAUCAGGAUAUCUCAGGGUAAAUGCUGUGCCACUGACUGCAUGUUUCUGGCGUCUGUGCUGUGAGUUGUUUUUUGAGUUGUAGGCAGGGGGCAAACGCACCUCUCCCAGUAUUGUAGUGUCUAAUCACUUCCCAAAUUUUAAUGUGUUUAUCAUCACAUCGACCCUCUGAGAUAUGAGAUUAGAGGUAAGAUUUUGAAGCACAAAGUCUUGGGUCAGGUUUUGAAAAUAUUA
rnacentral:lncRNA from 1 species